AUUGAACGCUGGCGGCAGGCCUAACACAUGCAAGUCGGACGGUAGCACAGAGGAGCUUGCUCCUUGGGUGACGAGUGGCGGACGGGUGAGUAAUGUCUGGGGAUCUGCCCGAUAGAGGGGGAUAACCACUGGAAACGGUGGCUAAUACCGCAUAACGUCGCAAGACCAAAGAGGGGGACCUUCGGGCCUCUCACUAUCGGAUGAACCCAGAUGGGAUUAGCUAGUAGGCGGGGUAAUGGCCCACCUAGGCGACGAUCCCUAGCUGGUCUGAGAGGAUGACCAGCCACACUGGAACUGAGACACGGUCCAGACUCCUACGGGAGGCAGCAGUGGGGAAUAUUGCACAAUGGGCGCAAGCCUGAUGCAGCCAUGCCGCGUGUAUGAAGAAGGCCUUCGGGUUGUAAAGUACUUUCAGCGGGGAGGAAGGCGGUGAGGUUAAUAACCUUGCCGAUUGACGUUACCCGCAGAAGAAGCACCGGCUAACUCCGUGCCAGCAGCCGCCGUAA
rnacentral:rRNA from 1 species